rnacentral:rRNA from 1 species
CACGUAGGUUGCAAGCGUUGUCCGGAUUUAUUGGGCGUAAAGGGCUAGUAGGCGGCUUAGCAAGUCGGGUGUGAAAACUUCAGGCUUAACCUGGAGCGGCCACUCGAUACUGCUAUGGCUAGAGUCCGGUAGGGGACCACGGAAUUCCUGGUGUAGCGGUGAAAUGCGCAGAUAUCAGGAGGAACACCGGUGGCGAAGGCGGAUCUCUGGGCCUUACCUGACGCUCAGGCGCGACAGCUGGGGGAGCGAACAGG